rnacentral:rRNA from 1 species
GUGGGGAAUUUUGGACAAUGGGCGAAAGUCUGAUCCAGCCAUGCCGCGUGCAGGAUGAAGGCCUUCGGGUUGUAAACUGCUUUUGUACGGAACGAAAAGACUCCUUCUAAUAAAGGGGGUCCAUGACGGUACCGUAAGAAUAAGCACCGGCUAACUACGUGCCAGCAGCCGCGGUAAUACGUAGGGUGCAAGCGUUAAUCGGAAUUACUGGGCGUAAAGCGUGCGCAGGCGGUUAUAUAAGACAGAUGUGAAAUCCCCGGGCUCAACCUGGGAACUGCAUUUGUGACUGUAUAGCUAGAGUACGGUAGAGGGGGAUGGAAUUCCGCGUGUAGCAGUGAAAUGCGUAGAUAUGCGGAGGAACACCGAUGGCGAAGGCAAUCCCCUGGACCUGUACUGACGCUCAUGCACGAAAGCGUGGGGAGCAAACAGGAUUAGAUACCCCAGUAGUCC